ACGCACGCUGGCGGCGUGCCUAAUACCUGCAAGUAGAACGCUGAAGGAGGAGCUUGCUUCUCUGGAUGAGUUGCGAACGGGUGAGUAACGCGUAGGUAACCUGCCUGGUAGCGGGGGAUAACUAUUGGAAACGAUAGCUAAUACCGCAUAAUAGCAGUUGUUGCAUGAUAACUGUUUGAAAGGUGCAAUUGCACCACUACCAGAUGGACCUGCGUUGUAUUAGCUAGUUGGUGGGGUAACGGCUCACCAAGGCGACGAUACAUAGCCGACCUGAGAGGGUGAUCGGCCACACUGGGACUGAGACACGGCCCAGACUCCUACGGGAGGCAGCAGUAGGGAAUCUUCGGCAAUGGACGGAAGUCUGACCGAGCAACGCCGCGUGAGUGAAGAAGGUUUUCGGAUCGUAAAGCUCUGUUGUAAGAGAAGAACGAGUGUGAGAGUGGAAAGUUCACACUGUGACGGUAUCUUAUCAGAAAGGGACGGCUAACUAGGUG
rnacentral:rRNA from 1 species